rnacentral:lncRNA from 1 species
GCCAAAUGAUCAAGAUCAAAACACCACAGAGACUUCAUACUCUGUCAAAACGAAAAGCAUCAUAUAAGCAAGCAAGCAAGCAAAGAACAAACAAAGUAAGAAACAAUCAAAAUACUAACCCUCGGGGUCAAACACACUGCCUUGAGAAUCAUCUUGAACAGAAAGCUUAGCCUUUCUAGGGACCUAAGGAACUUUAUCUUUUUUCCUUUGGCAACCUCGCCUUCCUCAGGAACCUCAUCAAAAG